rnacentral:tRNA from 1 species
GGUGGUGUAGCUCAGUGGCAGAGCACAUGCUCAGCAUGCACAAGGUCCAGGGUUCAAUCUCCAGUACCUCCA